GACGUAGGGCGCGAGCGUUGUCCGGAUUUAUUGGGCGUAAAGAGCUCGUAGGCGGCUUGUUGCGUCGGCUGUGAAAACCCAUGGCUCAACCGUGGGCUUGCAGCCGAUACGGGCAGGCUAGAGUUCGGUAGGGGAGACUGGAAUUCCUGGUGUAGCGGUGAAAUGCGCAGAUAUCAGGAGGAACACCAGUGGCGAAGGCGACUCACUGGCCCGUUACUGACGCUGAGGCGCGAAAGCUAGGGGAGCGAACAGG
rnacentral:rRNA from 1 species